rnacentral:rRNA from 1 species
GACGAACGCUGGCGGCGUGCUUAACACAUGCAAGUCGAACGGAAAGGCCCUGCUUUUGUGGGGUGCUCGAGUGGCGAACGGGUGAGUAACACGUGAGUAACCUGCCCUUGACUUUGGGAUAACUUCAGGAAACUGGGGCUAAUACCGGAUAGGAGCUCCUGCUGCAGGGUGGGGGUUGGAAAGUUUCGGCGGUUGGGGAUGGACUCGCGGCUUAUCAGCUUGUUGGUGGGGUAGUGGCUUACCAAGGCUUUGACGGGUAGCCGGCCUGAGAGGGUGACCGGCCACAUUGGGACUGAGGUACGGCCCAGACUCCUACGGGAGGCAGCAGUGGGGAAUAUUGCACAAUGGGAGGAAGCCUGAUGCAGCAACGCCGCGUGCGGGAUGACGGCCUUCGGGUUGUAAACCGCUUUAGCCUGUGACGAAGCGUGAGUGACGGUAAUGGGUAAAGAAGCACCGGCUAACUACGUG